GCCAUAUCAGGAACCGCCACGGUCCGGCUCGCGUCCCUGCUUCCCUGACCUCCUUCCUUUAUUCCUCGCGCCCCUCGCUGGGGUGGGGGGUCCUCCCUUUCUUCAAACCGGAUUAUUUAAAAAACAAAAAGAAAGGAAAAAAAAAAAAAACCCGCAAAGUCAUCUCUUGGCUCUAUCCGCCAUUCAGGAGGCUGGAUGUCAGUUUUUGAAAGAAAUGGCGCUACGCUCCACUUCUAGAUUUGGGAAACCAGCGGAAUUAAAGGAAACUGUUGAGACAUCUGGACACUGCGUGGCGCUGGCGCCACUGGAGCGGCGGGCCCCGCGCCGGACCAGGACUCCCUCAGACUUUCCCGGCCAUCCAGGCUCCAUGCUGAGGCUGCUUGCCACUCUUGUGUGACAGAAUGAAUGUGCAUUCCUCUUCACAAGGUUUUAGAGGGGGAACUCUGGAUGCUGGUGGAUCGGUGAGAAAAAGCACUUAUUUUACCCCUGACCUGAGCACUGAAGAGAUACCCUUUCACCACUGUUGCAAAUUCAUGCUUCCAAAAACUGCUCUUAGCCAGAACUACCUUCCAGAUGCCCUCUUUCUACCACACUCCUCCUCCUUAGGAUAAGAGAACAAGCACGUGAUGUUUGAAGCAAGAAGAUUGAAGAAUUGUUGCCUGCUAACCCAGCUCUUGGAUUAAAACAAUCUUUUUAGCUCUUUAAUGUGAAGCUCAGGGAUCACUUUUUUUUUUUUUUUCAUUCAUGAGACUUUUGCAACUUGUUAUUUUCAUACCUGAAAUCUGGAGGAAAGCUUAGUCUAAAUAGUUUCUAAAAUAGCCAUUAGCUCAGGAGAUAUGCAGCCAACAGGAGCUAUGUGACAGGAGAUAUGCGUGUGACAGGAACUUUGCCUACACUACACUUUUUUGAUCACAUGUUUUUUUAAGGUGUCAUUUAAAAAGUUUGUUUUUUGGAAAUGAUUCUUCCCACUAUUUUUCUAUAGAGGGUCAGGGAAAUGUAUAAAUAAUUUCUGGGUUAGGUGCAGAAGAUACAUAUGCUGGCAAACAAAUGUACAGUAUUAAAGCAGAUUGUCCUUUGGAGAUACUUUUUCAGGCUUGAGUCCUUUAUUUCUGGAUUUGACUCAAUGGAAAUCUUUACUGAGUUCCUAGCACAUGCACAGCACUCUGCUGAAAUAAUAGGAGUUGGGGGACUACAGUCUAAUUGGAAGACAAGGAUAAAGAGAGAACAUCUAUACAUACAGCACAAAGCAGAAUAAAUUAUAAUAUACAACAAGCUAUGGAAUAUUGUGGAGCAAGAAGGCAUUUUUUAUUAAUGGAGAUAGGAAAUGCAUUACCAAGGUGAUGGCAUUCUUGCUCGGUCACAAAAGACAGGUAGGAUUUUGGCAGGUGAAGAGCCAUUCUAAUGCAAGAGAAUAAUAAUAGAAAAAGCACAGUGGUCCAUUAAGGGCAGAAGCAGGGAAAUAAAGGGUGGCUAGGAUUAUAGUGUGAUUUCUGAGCUGCGUGCACACAGCUGUCCAUG